UUUUCGUGGACCAACCUAUUAGAAGGGCACGGUAAACCCCGUUAUAUCUUACCUCAGUAUGAGAGGCGCGAGUGGAUAACUCCUGAGGCUGACACUUUUAGAGUUCACUUCACGCCAAACCACCACAUGAGGGUGAACUCAGCCAACGCCAAUGAACGGCUAUGUUUUCAAAAUAAAAACAUAAUUUAUGUGUACAUGACUUUUUAACAGCCUUUGCGGACUCGGUUGGGAUAGCCCUCGAUCAAGGCAUCCCUAAUAACUGAGUAUGAGAAUGAUUUUUGGCACGAGUCAAGCUUUUCAGGAAAUCAUAGGCCUAGUUGUUUAUUUGGUUGAAAUAAGUUGAAAGGUAAUGAAAUUACAGUAUGAUGAUUUAUUUUAAUUGCCUCCAUUUACUCGGCUUUAGAUAUUUUAGAUGGUAUUUGUUUACUCACUGGGAUUAUAUAAUCUCAUCACCCUCCUUUCCACCCAUUUCAAGCUCAGGAUAGUGUGUAGAUAGCUGAUAUCGUCAAAGGCUAUGGUCGGCUUUACUACUCCAAAAAUUAUUGGUUUACUGCCUUUGUGCACUUUUGUUCCUUGUGGGCCCACAAGUCACUGUAAAGUAAAUUUCAUAUCCCGGUUAUCUGUAUUGUAGUACGUAUGAAUUUAUUUAGCUUAUACAUUCCAAAAAAAAUUAAUUAUCGAUGACUCUAUAAAUAUUGUUUUACAAGAAAUUAGAAUAUUUUAUUGAAUAUUUUUAUUUUAUUCAAAUAGUUGCAAUAUCAUUUUUAAUAAAUGUUUUAGACAUUCAAAUUUAUUUUAAAUAAUGAAAUAUGUGUUUUCCACUCAUCUACUACAUUUUUAGUCGGGUUCGAAAAAUUUUGAGGAAAAAUGACAAAAACGGCCUUAUGAGGCGAAAAUUAUUUCUCCACGAUUUUGAAAGGGAAAAAGCUUAAAAUUCUUUAAAAACGAGGUUUCGCGAUGAUUACUCACAGGGGAGCUGAGAAAAAUGGUACUAAAGCCUUACGAGAUUCCGGUUGGCACUUCGGGUAACAAAUGUCUACUAGGACGUCGUGGCGGUUGUCACGGGCCCAAAGGGAGUACCGGGUCAUGACAAUUUUAUUGGUAUCAGAGCUUUUGAUUUUAAAGAUAAGAGUUUUUGGUUUAAAAGUUAUUUGAAAAGCUAUAGUCCCAGUGUGGCCCAAGUUAAGUUAAGUUAAGUUAGGUUUGAUAGAAUAGAAUACGCGCAUCUGCAUAUAGAAUUUGGAGUUGUUUAGACUCGUUUUAUUUCUUCUUAUAGAUCUUAUGGGAGCAUAAGUCAUAGACAAGGAGCUAUAUGAACUCCUGUUCCUAGUAAUCCACUUCUUUGUUAAUGUCAUGGAAAGGUCAUAAGUAGGGUCGUUGUUCGAGUUUAAGAUGUUACCCGUGACACGAGCCAGUGUUAGAGAGAUCUUAAAAUGAAUGCUCUUAAUGAAAAAUUAAUGAAAUGAUAUAUCCCUCUGAUUAAGGAUGGAGAAAUUUGGAGUUGGACUAAUAGGCCGUGAUAAUUUAUUCAUUUGGUGGAGUUAUAAUUGAACUCAUGGUUGUCAAUCAGAAAAAGAUUUGGGGACUAUGAGAUUUCAAGAAUUGAUUGGACCUAUUAUAGUUCAUGGAUAUAAGCACAUGAAUUAACUCAAGAGUGAGUAUCAAUGAUUACUAUAAUUGAUGUGUGGUCAUGAAGUAAGAAGUUAGUAAACAAAUCUGUUCUAAGGAUGAGCUUGAACUUAGCUGUGCAUAGAAAAAGAGGGAGCCAAUGGAUUAAAGGACUAAAUAUGGAAUUGGUAGCUUGAGGUUAAAUGACUUGGAAAUGUCGAAUCUAUUCUAAGUGCCAUAUGAAGUUCUAUAAUUGAGACUGAUUACGAAUUACUUGAAAGAUCAAUUUAAAAGUUUAUUUUGUUCAAAGUGUGGUCUAUGAUACGAAUGAUCAGUCUUGAAGGUGAUCUCCCCAGAGUAAGGAAUUUUGAAAUGUGGAUGCUUGGAUAUACUCUAAGAGAGAGAACUUCUGCAUCCUACGUUUAAGACAACUUUGAUCUUAUGAUCGCAAAGGCAAGGUGUAAUAACUAAGUAAAUUUUUCGCUUAACAAAUGUGAUUGGUUAUUGAUGGAUAAAGUCAAGAUCUUAACAUUUAGUGGUGUACAAUUUGAUAAUUAUGUAUUUAAGAGUUAAUUGGAGACAAUUCCUUUAUUAAAUUUGCACUAAAUGCUAUGGUAAAGGCAUAUCAAUGUUAAUAUGGAAAUGUAUCCAGAAAUGAUCUUAACAUAUCACCAAAGGAGAAUUAAACAUGUUGAAAUUAAUGUUCUAAUAGUGUGCAUACGAUCGAAAGCUAGUUUGUAAGUUGUAGUUUUCAUGAUCAUGAAAUAUAUAAAGAUUAUCAAUAUAUGGACAUAUACUUGGAGUUGUAAUUUACAAGUUUGGAGUAUUUAAGAUAUGAUUAAAUGGAAUUGGCAUUAGUUAAGGUAUGUAAAUCUUCUAAUUAAAUUCUGUGGAGUAUGCAUGAUAGUAGAAUGGAGGAAUAUAGUGUCAUGAUACUAUAUGGUGAAGUUACUAUAUAAUAUGGAAAGAGUGUUCUAAAGUGAGAUUUAUUGACUGAUGAUAAGUGAUGGGCAAUCUGAGAUACAUGUAGCUAUGAAUAAAUUUGGAGAUUUUUACUUGAGCAAACUCGUACUAAAUGUUAUGGUAAAGAUAUAUGAAUGUUAGUGGCAAAAUAAAUACGUUAAAUCAAUGUUCUGAUCGCACAUUUGUGAUAGAAAAUUAGUCUUGGUAAUUGUGGUAUAGACUUAAAGGGAAGCCACACGAUUGUGAAUAAUUGAGGUAGUAGCUUUAAAGGUGGAAGAGUUGCUGGGAUAAAGUGAAUUUAAAUAGUUGCAACACCACAGUACUGACUAUCAAACUCUGUCACGUUAAGAACCCUUAAUGGCUAGAAAGCAAGAGUAAACUGUAAGCGACAUAAAGAUGAAGCUCACGAGUUGAAAUAUGGUUAUUGGUUUUGAUGUUAAGCUUUGUUGUUGGAGUCUUAAGUUCAUUAGGGAGGUACUAAGAUAAAGAUGAUGAGUGAAAUUAUAGAGUUUCUUUAUUGCCUUAUAUAUGGGCAUGUAAGAGAAAGAAAAGUUAGAGAGUUUUUGAUAUGGCUACAUAAAAAAAUAAAUUAACAUGUGGAGUGUUAAAAGGAAUAAUAUGUUGACUAAAGCCAAAUCUUAAGAAAUAAAGUGAAUCUUGUAAAAGGUUAAAGAGGAAUUGAGGGAACGGUUAGAUGAAUAUAUGAGAUGUUGAUAAGAGAUGUCAAUACCAAGUGAUGAAAGUGUGAAUGGCGAUUUCAAGAAUGAUAUAGCAAAUGAGUUUAUAUAGAAUAUUGUUAUGAGAAUGUACUAAUCUUGUCUUGACUUUGUUGAAAAGAAAAGAUUAGUGACAACACAAGUAAAUUACGGGGUAUGAUAGAAAGCCUUGGAGAUAAGUUGAAGCAUGAGUAGUUGGGCAUGCCUUUAUGGAAAUGAUAUACUUGGAGUAUGAAAGAGUAAAUAAGUGAUUAAGUGUUUCAAGAAUAUUUAAACAUCUUUGAGGAAGACUUAUAAAAUUAUACGAGAUUAGUAUGAGAUGUGUGAUUUUGAAAUUUGCUAAGGAGCCAAAUGGCUAAGUCACAAGUUAAUUGAUCAUAUGCUGUGAGGCAUAAGUCUAAGGUAGAUAUUCCCAAGGAAAUACUCAAGAAGAGUUUUGCUACGGAUUUUAUAGAAGCUAGCAUUAAAUUAUGUAGCUGUAAAGAGGAAGCCCUAAGUUGGAAGUGAAAUUCGUAUUGACAUUGAAAAGUACAUAGAAGAACCUUAUUUCAAGUCUUACAGUUUUAAGUACAAACUGCAUAUUGGUCUAGGGAGAAUGAUAUCACAUUAGUAUGGAAGAACAGAAUAAAGGAUGAAUGAAGAUAAUUUGGAUAAUGAAGCUUGAUAAUGAAAAUUUCCUAAGGUAAUAUGAAAAUUGGAGUUUGAAAAUGCAUAAGGCAUGCAUGAUUCGAAACAAUCUAAGUUUUUAAGAGACAUUUAGUAGGUGAGAUGUGAUUAAUGACAUUGUGAUGUGAGGAUAUAGCAUGAUAAAACUCAAGCAUAUGGUUGGAAAUGAUAUAAGUGAUAUGAAGUUAUACGCAAGUAUAAUAAGAAGGUUGACAUGCACUAUAAGAAUUAUUAUAUUGAAACUAGGAUUGGGAUGUGGAUGAAUAAAGGGGAAUGUAGUCCAAGGCAUGUGAACACAUGGAUCCCUAUACAUAAUGAGAGAUGUUGACAUUUGAAAAUGCAUGUACAUAUGUAUAUAUGAAAUUGAUAAUUUGACUAACUAAGGUGAAAAAUUGUUCUCAGUAAUUGGGAGAUUUUGAAAUAAUGUCCAGAGCGGUCAGUGAGCUAAAGUGUCAUCGGGCAUGCAAUAAACGAUUAAAGUUAUGAGUGACUUUGAAGGUAAACCUUGAAUUGUUUACGUUCUUAAUGGAACUCUAUUAAAGGAAGGGUAUGGACCAAUAUAAGAUGAAUGAAUUAAGGUUGAGAAAUUUGGCAUGGAGCAAAUUAAUAAAAUGAUGAUUAGGUAUACAUAAGUAAGAAUGAUAUGUGAUCGAAAUCGGUAUAAUUGAGAUGAAGUUAUGGUUCAAAUUUAAUAAGGGUGAUAAAGGUAUGCUUAGUGACUCGAUAUAAAAAAUCAUGAUUGUGAAAGGUAUUGCUGAUCUGGCUUCAAAGGAUGAUAAUUGCCAUAAAUAAAGCAUUUAAUUGAACUGAAGGUGAACGAGGUAAAUAAAUUGAAUGUCCCUAUAGAAGGAAAAAGGAAUAGGAUCAUAGAAGGAGAUUGAUAACGUAACAUCGACGUGAAUUCGAGGACGAAUUCUAUUUAAGUGGGGGAGAUUGAAAUGCCCCAUACUUUGAUAUGGAGAUAAAUAAAGUUGGUCGGAUGUGAAUUGAGGCAUAAUAAGGAACUUUGGGAACCAAGGAGAUAAGAUAAAAUUUUUAGAAUAAAAUAAUAUUAAAAUAUUAAUAUUUAGUCGAAUGUCGAAGUCAGUCAUGAAGAAGGAUCAUAUGGUUGAUCCAAGUGGGGGAGAAGAUGUCAAGCCUGACUUUGUAAAAUACUUGUCAUGACAUGCAUGUGAUUGACUGAAUGUUUACAUAUUAGGAGAGCCCCAAAAAAUCGACAAAAGUCGGUAUUGUACCUAGAGGUACAAUAAAGUUGAUUUAAGCCUCAAACUAGAUCAAAUAGAGAAUUUAAGAGGAAAUUAAGAAUUUUAAAGUCCCAGAAUGGUUUAAUAUGGUGAUUUGGAGUUCGAGAAUCAAUUUGGAGUCAAAUCGAAAAUUUCACUAUCUAGGGGUAAAAUGGUAAUUUUUCCACUGGAGGACAAAAUGGGAAAGUUUUUUCAAAGAUUUUGAUCAUAUUUGACUUAUUGGAGUGUGAUUUGAGGUUGAGAAGUGAAAAUUUGUAAUUUUUGUAUUUUUUAGAGAACAAGGGUAAAAUGGUAAUUUUACCACCCUAUGGGCAAAACAGUAAUUUUUCACCACCAGAACACUUGUCCAGCAUAUGAUUUUUAUCCAAAUUUAUCAUGGAUAAUUGAAGGAAUUUAUAUGGUGGAGAGAGAAAGCUUAAUAGAUAAGAAAUAAAAAUGGACCAAUGAAAUGGUGACACAUGGCAUAUUUAUAACCAUUAAAUAUUUAGCUUUAAAAUUAAUACAAAAUCAGCCCAUUUCUCAUUGAUAUGGCCGGCCAAAGAAGAACAAAGGAGGAAAGGAAAAAAAAACAAGAACCCUAGGUGGGAAAAUUGAAGAAAAAGUGUGGAAUUUCAAGGGAUUAAGCUAAUAAAGGUAAAAUUUCUUGAUUUUGACUUGUGAUUUACACUACCCAUGCUUUCUUUUUCAUUUUCCAUGGUUAGAUUUCAUGUUUUCAUGGUGAAUUCAUGGCUGGUUGGAAUGGGUAUGGAGAGAGAAUGAAGUUGGAUUGAUUUGAUUCUAAGUUAUGUUAGUGUUUUUAGUUAGUUUAUCAUGUCUAGAAAUAAACCAACAAGAAAAAUUCAGUUUCUCCCAUUACCCAUCAUUGGCCGAAUUUUCUAGGGAGGAUAUUGUGGCUGAAAUUGAUGAUAUUUCAUGAUAUUUUGGUGAUAUUUGAUGUUUGGUGAGGCUAGAAAUUAAAUGGGAAAUUUUGGUGUGAAAAUUUGAAUUUUUGCUUAACGUAUAGACAUGUGUGAUUAUUGACCCGAGACUGAUAAAUUGAAUCUCAUUCAUAGUCACUAAGGUAAUUUAGGUAUAAUUGGAGUGUAGAAAGUAAGAAGAAUUGAUUUGGAGUUAAAUUGAAGAUUUUAGCCGAUUAGACCGAGUAUAGUGUGACUUAGGUCGAAUAUCACAUUUAAGUGAUUAAUCGGACAUUUUGCAUCCCAUUGCAUGCAUUCUUUUAGAUUUAGAGAGCUUGAAAUAGUUUAUGAUAAAUUGACACAGUUUAUUGAAAUUCGUGUCACGUAUGAUGUAUAGGUGGUGAGCCCUCUAACAAGGGUAAAGAGUUGUGCCCGAAGAUCGAGAAUAGGAGUAUAUCGAACUCCUAGUAUAGUGAGUAACCUUACUAUCGUCUUAAUUAUCUAGAGUGGUUUUUAUUCGAUUUUGUGGAUUUUAUGGAAAAUGAGUUUAAAUGGUAAAUCUUUUUGUUUUACAAACAAAACGUGUUUAAAUAAAAUGAUUUUAUAAAUUGUCUUGAAAUUGAAUAAUGACUUUGAAAAUAGAGUAACUGGAGACCACUUGAGGUGUUGUAAAUUCAUGGUUUGAAUUGACUGGCUUAUGACAAUAUUUGCAUGAAUGGCUGAAUUGGUAUUUAUGUUGAAAUAUAUGAACUGUGUAUUUAGCCUUGAAAGGCUGUGAAUUACAAUAAUUGCCAUAUCAUGUUAUUGAAUUUUAUUGAUUGGUGGGAUAAUAAUGAGCUUACUGCAGUGGGCAGGUUUCCGUGGACCAGCCUAUUAGAGGGGCACUGUAAACCUCGUUAUAUCUUACCUCAGUAUGAGAGGCGCGAGUGGAUAACUCCUGAGGCUAACACUUUUAGAGUUCACUUCACGCCAAACCGCCAAGUGAGGGUGAACUCAGCCAACGCCAAGGAACGACUAUGUUUUCAAAAUAAAAACAGAAUUUAUGCAUACAUGACUUUUUAAUAGCCUUGGCGAACUCGGUUGGGAUAGCCCUCAAUCAAGGCAUCCCUAAUAACUGAGUAUGAGAAUGAUUUUUGG
rnacentral:lncRNA from 1 species